rnacentral:rRNA from 1 species
UACGUAGGGUGCAGGCGUUAAUCGGAAUUACUGGGCGUAAAGCGUGCGCAGGCGGUUUCUUAAGUCAGAUGUGAAAGCCCCGGGCUUAACCUGGGAACUGCGUUUGAAACUGGGAGACUUGAGUGUGGCAGAGGGGGGUGGAAUUCCACGUGUAGCAGUGAAAUGCGUAGAUAUGUGGAGGAACACCGAUGGCGAAGGCAGCCCCCUGGGUUAACACUGACGCUCAUGCACGAAAGCGUGGGGAUCAAACAGG